rnacentral:lncRNA from 1 species
UUUGAUUGGUGAAAAUUAUCAAGAAUUAUGUUUUUAUUGAAGAAAUUUUUAUUUAAAAACUAUAUCUAUUGAGCAAUUCAGUACGUUGUUGCGAGAUCUUCAAGUUUCUCAUCCUCAAUUAGCCCUCCAACUUUGUGAUAAUUAAUUAAUCUGUUGCAUAUAUUACUCACAAUCAGGCCUCCAUGAGAGGAGAAAUAUAGAAAUUUUCACACCAGUCAAAACCACCACAAAAACUAAUCUGGGUUUUGAUUAUUUUGCAAUAGUAUUACCCAAAUAAAAGCAUGGAAAAGAAAAGAAGAAAAUCUACACUCAGUAUCAAGAUUUGCAUAACAACCAGGAAAGAGAUGAAGCCUUUAUCCAUUACACAUUUAGAGCAACAGAAACAAGCAGAAGAAAUCUGAAGAAACAAACUAGCUAUAUCUUGCUGCAUGUCAUGAUGAUCUGAUCAUUAAUAUAGCUUCAUCAAAUCUUGAGCUACCAAAUCAUGCCUUGAAGCAAGGAAGAAGAUACCCUAAAGAACCAUUUGAAUUUUGCGUUAUUAGGUUGCCAAAAAUAUCACCUAAGAAGGUGACCAUGCCAAAGGAUUAAGGUUGCCCUGUGGGAGACCUUUCUCUCCCAAAAUUUCUGAUAAAUCAUAGCCUUGCACUUAAUAAUCUCAGCCACCUCCCACCAGUCACCCGCUGCAUCGCCACCAAUUAACCAACCCACCGCUAAGGCAUUACAGGCACGGUGGGUGGUGUUAUCUGAUACGAGCUUAGCAUGGUGGAGGUGGCACUAAUGCUAAGAGAAAAGACUACUCAUCAUCAUCAUUACCUUGUUAUAUAGCUACAGAUAAGAACUAAGGCAGAGAUGGAGAGAGGCGAUGAUAUAAUAGGUUUAUAAAGAAGAAAGCAAAGUGAUUUAAAAAUGUCGGUUUCUUCUCCAAAAGGGUUAGCAUUGGCCGCAUCUUCCAAGGGAUAUGCGGCGACCACCUUCAUUGCUUCACAUUUGAUGACCACAUGCACCUUUCGUUCACUAUUUUUAUUAUAAUUUUUUUCUCUCCAUACCUUACUAAGGUAUAAUACUCUAAUAUUGUUUGUUUUAUAAACUUCACGUGCCACACGCUCCUUUCGGUUGGCCUAACAUGGCAAGCACAACAAGACAACACACAAGACUCGGGUUCUAGAGAGCGCAAAAUGUGAAGCAAGUCUAGCGCGUGAUGGUGAUGUGAGAUUGGUCUAAUGCUUCACUUUGCAGCUUCAAGUUCCUGCAAUUGCUUUCCUCUUUGUCUCCACUAAUUCUGUGAUUAAACCACUGGUUAUUAUUUAUAUAUUCUUUUUGUUUUUUGUUACUUUAGAACUGUUCUUGUGCUGGUAGAAGUUUUAAUAGCUUGAUUUAUCCUAAGAUUCCACACUCUUUUCCCCUGCCUUAGCUUCCCUUAUCUAUUUACUUGGCUUGUAGGUAAUCUGUGGCCGUGAAGAAGGAAUAUGGAAAUAAAUGGACUAAUUAUGGCGGGUUGCUCUUUAUUUCCAUCAAUAUCGUCAUACUUGAGUCAGUUCUAU